rnacentral:rRNA from 1 species
GAUGAACGCUGGCGGCGUGCCUAAUACAUGCAAGUAGAACGCUGAAGCUUGGUGCUUGCACCGAGCGGAUGAGUUGCGAACGGGUGAGUAACGCGUAGGUAACCUGCCUCUUAGCGGGGGAUAACUAUUGGAAACGAUAGCUAAUACCGCAUAAAAGUCGAUAUCGCAUGAUAUUGAUUUGAAAGGUGCAAAUGCAUCACUAAGAGAUGGACCUGCGUUGUAUUAGCUAGUUGGUGAGGUAACGGCUCACCAAGGCGACGAUACAUAGCCGACCUGAGAGGGUGAUCGGCCACACUGGGACUGAGACACGGCCCAGACUCCUACGGGAGGCAGCAGUAGGGAAUCUUCGGCAAUAGGGGCAACCCUGACCGAGCAACGCCGCGUGAGUGAAGAAGGUUUUCGGAUCGUAAAGCUCUGUUGUAAGAGAAGAACGAGUGUGAGAGUGGAAAGUUCACACUGUGACGGUAACUUACCAGAAAGGGACGGCUAACUUCGUG